ACAAAAAUCCAUCAAUGUUUCUUUAGAGAAAUCCAGGAGUAGCCACAUAUCAGAAAUUCCCAAACAUGCACCAACACAACAGUACGACCUAGUGUUACUUAAAUGUUUAACAUGUAAGGUAGACAACAGUACGACCUAGUGUUACCUAAAUGUUUAACACGUAAGGUAGACACAACAGUACGACCUAGUGUUACCUAAAUGUUUAACAUGUAAGGUAGACACAACAGUACGACCUAGUGUUACCUAAAUGUUUAACACGUAAGGUAGACACAACAGUACGACCUAGUGUUACCUAAAUGUUUAACACGUAAGGUAGACACAACAGUACGACCUAGUGUUACCUAAAUGU